AACAAACGCUGGCGGCGUGCCUAACACAUGCAAGUCGUACGAGAAAGUCGGCUUCGGCCGAUGAGUACAGUGGCGCACGGGUGAGUAGCGCGUGGGUAAUCUGCCCCCCGGUCAGGAAUAACCCGCCGAAAGGCGGGCUAAUACCCGAUAACACUGACGCUCCGCGGAGCGUCUUUCAAAGAAGGCCUCUGUUUACAAGCUUUCGCCGAUGGAUGGGUUCGCGUCCUAUCAGCUGGUUGGUGGGGUAACGGCCUACCAAGGCGAAGACGGGUAGCCGGUCUGAGAGGAUGGCCGGCCACACUGGAACUGAGACACGGUCCAGACUCCUACGGGAGGCAGCAGUGGGGAAUAUUGGGCAAUGGGGGUAACCCUGACCCAGCGACGCCGCGUGAGGGACGAAGGUUUUCGGAUCGUAAACCUCUGUUGUACGGGAAGAAGGAAUUGACGGUACCGUACGAGAAAGCCCCGGCAAACUACGUG
rnacentral:rRNA from 1 species